GUGCUUCGACAGCACAUAUACUAAAAUUGGAAUGAUACAGAGAAGGUUAACAAGGCCCCUGCGCACGGAUGACACGCAAAUUCACUUUAGAUCUUAGGUAGAAUGUU
rnacentral:snRNA from 1 species